rnacentral:lncRNA from 10 species
GAAGCUUCCGGCCUUCAUCUUUCUCCUGUGCUGGAUGCUUCUUGUCCUCAAACAUCAGACUCCAAUUUCUUCGGCUUUUGGACUCUUUAGACUUACACCAGUGGUUUGCCAGGGGCUCUUGGGCCUUUGGCCAUAGACUGAAGGCUGCAAUUGUCGGCUUCCCCACUUCUAAGGUUUGGGGAUUCGGGCUGAGUCACUGCUGGCUUUGUUGCUCCUUAACUUGCAGACGGCCUAUUGUGGGACUUCACCUUGUGAUCGUGAGUCAGUUCUGCUUAAUAAACUCCCUUUCAUGUAUACAUAUAUCCUAUUAGUUCUAUCCCUCUAGAGAACCCUGACUGAUACACUAAUAAUAACUUAGAUACCAUUGUAAGAGAUUUUCUUACAAUGACCAUCUUUUCCAAGUAUCUUGAAAUAUACUCCUUUGCCUCCAAAUUUAUUUAUAUCUCUUGUAAUAAGAUUUCCAGAAAAACAGGGUGAAAUUAGAAAUUGCUCCAUCCCUUAAACUCAGUUCAAUGCAAUUUAAUAUAUACCAGCACUUACUAUGUAAAAGACAUUUACUAAGCAUUAAGGAUAGAGAGCUGAAUUAAGUAAUAGUCUCAGCAGCAAAAUGCAGAAACUGUUUUACAGAGGUCACAUUUCAGCCUCCAUCCAGUGACUGUUAGGAUAUUUCAAGUUACCAAAGAGGAAAAAAAGUUGUUUUUGAAUUUGGUGGUGUAAGUAGUCACCCAUGAGGCUGAGGGUCCAGGGCGUACUCCUCUCAUCACCACUGACCUCACGCUCAUUCCACAUAGACAUUUUACAGUCAAGGAAAAGUUACCUGGAACCUGAUACAAAGACAAGAUGUUCUCAGAGAAGAACGAACAAAUGCCAUGCUUACUGAUCAGGGUAACAGUUGAAAACACGGGGCAUGAGUUCUGUAUUUCAUAAAGCUGCAGGAUCCAAACACUUCUCACUAGCAGCCAACCAAAGACACUGGGGAUGAGUAAUGAGUAUACACUACUCAUUCUAAGGUUGGGAAUUUCUCGUGAUUGACUGACACUCCAUCAUGUCUCUCUAGAAGUAUUUCUAUUGGACCAGGCAUGGUAGACAUGAUAGACAAAUACUAUGGGUAGUGGUGGUAGUUGUUUUUGAGACAGGCUUUUGCUCUGUUGCCCAGACUGGAGUGCAGUGGCAUGAUCAUGGCUCACUGCAGCCUCAGC